rnacentral:rRNA from 1 species
AACGAACGCUGGCGGCAGGCCUAACACAUGCAAGUCGAGCGAGACCUUCGGGUCUAGCGGCGGACGGGUUAGUAACGCGUGGGAACGUGCCCUUCUCUGCGGAAUAGCCAUUGGAAACGAUGAGUAAUACCGCAUACGCCUUCGGGGAAAGAUUUAUCGGAGAAGGAUCGGCCCGCGUUAGAUUAGAUAGUUGGUGGGUAAUGGCCUACCAAGUCUACGAUCUAUAGCUGGUUUGAGAGGAUGAUCAGCAACACUGGGACUGAGACACGGCCCAGACUCCUACGGGAGCAGCAGUGGGGAAUCUUAGACAAUGGCGCAAGCCUGAUCUAGCCAUGCCGCGUGAGUGAUGAAGGGCCCUAGGGUCUAAAGCUCUUUCGCCUGUGAAGAUAAUGACUGUAGCAGGUAAAGAAA